GAUUUUUUUCAAAUUUUCAAUUUGUUUAUUUGAGCCAAUUGACGAUCCUCUCGAACGCAACAAAAACAAAAUUGAAACUAAAUUUUCAAAAAAAUACUGGCCAUUUUUUGUGGGUAUCACUUUUUUACAAAAUCUCAGAGAGAACACUUGGUUGAAUUUUUGAUAGUUGUUGUGUUCGAUGAAUAAAAAAUAUAAUAUUUUAUUAUCAACGAUUGAAAACUGAAAAAAAUUCGUUAGUCUUGUUUAACGAGAACCACACACACUUAGUUAAUCAAUAUUUAUUUCGAAUCAUCCUUCGAGACCUUUUAUAAUGUGACAAGUCCGAUGCAAAACCAUGUUUAUGAGAUUAUAUGAUGACACAAUUAUUGUUUUGAAACAUGCUGGUGAUACGUUUCGUUUAUUUGCAACAAUUGCACUAACAUUGAUGAUAUGGCAGUCAAAAAAAAGCACAGGUGAGUAAUCUGGAAAUAUAUUUUCAAUUACCUACCGUUCGUUGAGUACCUACCUAUCUAUUCUUAUUCUUAUUCUUAUUAAAAAAGCGUAGGUAUAAUAAACUCAUUUGAUUUAAAACACUAAAAUAUUACAUAUUUGAUUUGAGGACAGGUUUCUCAGGCAAAUCGCAGCUGCUGUACGCAAUCGUGUACUUAACCCGAUACUUGAGUUGGUAUAUAGAAAAAGAAGAUCUCACUGCGUUUGAAAUCGUAUCGAGGGUUUCGCUCAUUUUAUCCUCUUUUGUGACAGUUUACCUAAUUUAUUUCAAGUUCAGUUACGAAUCUAGUCGUAAAGAAGAUUCGUUCAGGAUAAAAUAUUUACUCGCUCCAGCUGCAAUACUCGCUUUAUUUUAUAAACCAGGAUUUAUCGAUAAUCCAUCUGCUUACGAAGAAAUUCUCGAAGCUUGUUGGGCAUUCAGUUACUACUUAGAAGCUGUAGCAAUAUUACCUCAGCUACUGCUAUUGUACAAUCAAAAGGACAACGAAAACGAAAAACAAGAUUUCGUGACCACUUACUUGAUGAUUAUGAGUUUUUCGCGAAUAAUGUACACUGUAUAUUCGAUAUGCGAAAAGAACCACAAUCUGCUUACCGAUAUAACCGGAGUGAUUCAAUUUUACAUGUACCUUAUGUAUUUUUUAUGGCUAUCCAUCCAAGUCGAGCAAGAUACCACAGUAUGAGACAGUUAAUACCUAUCGAAGCGUAGGUUUGGUAGGUACCUACCUACUUUUUAAUCAUUUUUGCAGCUCUGAUAAUCAGAUCUAUUGUCAAUUGUAAUAUCAUUUUUAUGAUCACAUAAUAAAAAUAUUCUAAGUA